AACGGCGAGUGAACCGGGAAGAGCUCAAAUUUGAAAUCUGGCGUCCUCAGGGCGUCCGAGUUGUAAUCUAUAGAGGCGUUUUCCGUGCCGGACCGUGUCCAAGUUCCUUGGAACAGGAUAUCAAAGAGGGUGACAAUCCCGUACUUGACACGAUGACCGGUGCUCUGUGAUACGUCUUCUACGAGUCGAGUUGUUUGGGAAUGCAGCUCAAAAUGGGUGGUGAGUUCCAUCUAAAGCUAAAUAUUGGCGAGAGACCGAUAGCGAACAAGUACCGUGAGGGAAAGAUGAAAAGCACUUUGGAAAGAGAGUUAAACAGUACGUGAAAUUGUUGAAAGGGAAACGAUUGAAGUCAGUCGUGACUGAGAGGCUCAGCCGGUUCUGCCGGUGUAUUCCCCUCAGUCGGGUCAACAUCAGUUUUGUCCGGUGGAAAAGGGCGGUAGGAACGUGGCACCUCCGGGUGUGUUAUAGCCUGCCGUCGCAUACAUCGGGUGAGACUGAGGAAUGCAGCUCGCCUUUAUGGCCGGGGUUCGCCCACGUCCGAGCUUAGGAUGUUGACAUAAUGGCUUUAAACGACCCGUCUUGAAACACGGACCGG
rnacentral:rRNA from 1 species